GGUAUAUAUAAUAACUCAGUGGUAGAAUAUCUGCUUUGUAUGCAGAGAGUUUCAGGUUCAAUCCCUGGGAUCUCCA